AAGAUUUAAUUCUUCCUCUUUCAAAACCCUAGCCCCCUCUUCUAGAUUUCUCAAAUAUUCUUAAUUGGGUGUAACUUUUUCUUCAUUUAUGAUGAUAUCGAGUUUUCUCCCGACAUUUCAUUGUUUAUGGAAUGUCUCAAGGUUCUAAUUUUUCAUAUAGAUAUAAGAGCAUAUGCUAUUGUGGAAUUGCAGCAGUACUCAAUUUCAUAUCGUGGAUUCCUUCAAAUUCAGGAAGAAGUCUUUUCAGGCUGCUAAGCCUGAUGUAGAAAAAAAAGUUUCUUGUGAAAUCUGUGGAUUUCUUUUGAAUUUUUUUCACGAAUGAUGAAUUUAGUUUUAUCUUUCGUUACGACACUAUUAAAGAUGGAAUAAGAUGAAUAGUUAGCCCCCA
rnacentral:lncRNA from 1 species